rnacentral:lncRNA from 1 species
AAGGAAGAGGGAAGUGAUCAACGGUGCCUGUCGCUGUCGAGCCUGGAGCAUCUACCCCACGGGAGGUCGGGGGUUUUACUUCAAGUGCAAGAAGCGCCCUCUGACUCCUAGUGAUGGAGCCCAAGCGUUGAUUGAGAUUUACAGAGGCCUUGGCCUGGAAGAAGACAGUCUUGUCCAGGAGUCUCUGUAGGUUACAGACCUGGCCCAGAUCUGGCGUUGCUGUGGUUGUGGGGUAGGCCGACAGCUAUAGCUCUGAUUGGACCCCUAACCUGGGAACCUCCAUAUGCUGCAGGUGUGGCCCUAAAGAUCAAAAAAGAAAGAAAGAGAGAAAGAAAGGAAGAAAGAAAGAAACAGGUGGAAGGGCUCAAUCUGAGACACCGGAAAAUUAAGAUGUGGACCCAGGUCGUCACCGCCGGAUCCUCAGUCUCCUGGGCUGCACGUCUGCAGGCGUUUUCCUGGGUGCAGGGUUCAUGCACGUGACUGCAGAAGCCAUGAGUCAGAGAUCCAGAGGUUGGUGAUACAGGUGAGCAGCAGACUUGCUGAGCUGCGGGCCUGUGAGGCCAGAAUGAUGAACAGAACUAGGGGAAGAAAGGGGACAAGGUAAAGACGCCAACGACAUGGGUGGAAGGACAAGGAAGAUGACGGCUCUUGUCGUGUGUAGAAUGAUGGAAACAGGUCAGAUUGAGGAGAGCUCCCAUUGCGGCUCAGCGGGUUAAGAACCCGACUAGUAUCCAUGAGGAUGCUGGUUUGAUCCCUGGCCUCGAUCAGUGGAUUAAGGAUCCGGUGUUGCCGUGAGCUGCAGCCUAGGUCUCAGAUGCGGCUCGGAUCCCGCGUUGCUGUGGCUGUGGUGUAAGCCAGGCAGCUGCAGCUCCGAUUCCACCCCUAGCCUGGGAACUUCCGUAUGCUGCGGGGCGGCCCUGAAAAGACCAAAAAAAAAAAACCCAAAAACAAAAAACUGGUUAUCUGGAAGUGAAGAGGAGCAGAAGGGCUGUCACGUAGCCCCUGACCUGUGAGAUGGAGGAAUAUGCCAGACCUAGCGGAGCAAUGGAGAAAGAGGAGAUACAGCCCAUAAGCUCAACCACUCACCAGUGUGCCUCUUCUCAUAUUUUCAGUGUGGAAGCCCGAGUGGCCUUGACGUGGUCAAGGUCUCCUGAGAGUCAUUCCCGUCUCAGCCUGUCCCCUUUCUGUCCCACUCCCCUCCCCAUUAGCUGAGAUACCCCUGCCUCCUCACAAACCCAGCUGAUGCAGGGUUCAGUGAGAAGACAAGCCUGAGAAAAAACUAAAUAAAAAUAUCUGACGCGG